AUUGAACGCUUGCGGCAGGCUUAACACAUGCAAGUCGAGCGAGCGGCGGACGGGUGAGUAAUGUCUGGGAACCUGCCUGAUGGAGGGGGCUACCUACUGGAAACGGUAGCUAAUACCGCAUACCAUCAGAUGUGCCCAGAUGGGAUUAGCUAGUAGGUGGGGUAAUGGCUCACCUAGGCGACGAUCCCUAGCUGGUCUGAGAGGAUGACCAGCCACACUGGAACUGAGACACGGUACAGACUCCUACGGGAGGCAGCAGGGGGGAAUAGUGGACAAUGGGCGCAAGCCUGAUGCAGCCAUGCCGCGUGUGUGAAGAAGGCCUUCGGGUUGUAAAGCACUUUCAGCGAGGAGGCGGUACUCGCAGAAGAAGCACCGGAUAACUCCGUGCCAGCCGCCGCGGUAAUUC
rnacentral:rRNA from 1 species